CACUCCUACGGGAGGCAGCAGUGGGGAAUAUUGGACAAUGGGCGCAAGCCUGAUCCAGCCAUGCCGCGUGAGUGAUGAAGGCCCUAGGGUUGUAAAGCUCUUUCACCGGUGAAGAUAAUGACGGUAACCGGAGAAGAAGCCCCGGCUAACUUCGUGCCAGCAGCCGCGGUAAUACGAAGGGGGCUAGCGUUGUUCGGAUUUACUGGGCGUAAAGCGCACGUAGGCGGACUAUUAAGUCAGGGGUGAAAUCCCGGGGCUCAACCCCGGAACUGCCUUUGAUACUGGUAGUCAUGAGUUCGAGAGAGGUGAGUGGAAUUCCGAGUGUAGAGGUGAAAUUCGUAGAUAUUCGGAGGAACACCAGUGGCGAAGGCGGCUCACUGGCUCGAUACUGACGCUGAGGUGCGAAAGCGUGGGGAGCAAACAGGAUUAGAAACCCCAGUAGUCCC
rnacentral:rRNA from 1 species